CAUCCUGGCGGCGAGUGGCGAACGGGUGAGUAAUACAUCGGAACGUGCCCAAUCGUGGGGGAUAACGCAGCGAAAGCUGUGCUAAUACCGCAUACGAUCUACGGAUGAAAGCAGGGGAUCGCAAGACCUUGCGCGAAUGGAGCGGCCGAUGGCAGAUUAGGUAGUUGGUGAGGUAAAGGCUCACCAAGCCUUCGAUCUGUAGCUGGUCUGAGAGGACGACCAGCCACACUGGGACUGAGACACGGCCCAGACUCCUACGGGAGGCAGCAGUGGGGAAUUUUGGACAAUGGGCGAAAGCCUGAUCCAGCCAUGCCGCGUGCAGGAUGAAGGCCUUCGGGUUGUAAACUGCUUUUGUACGGAACGAAACGGUCUUUUCUAAUACAGAAGGCUAAUGACGGUACCGUAAGAAUAAGCACCGGCUAACUACGUGCCAGCAGCCGCGGUAAUACGUAGGGUGCAAGCGUUAAUCGGAAUUACUGGGCGUAAAGCGUGCGCAGGCGGUUAUGUAAGACAGUUGUGAAAUCCCCGGGCUCAACCUGGGAACUGCAUCUGUGACUGCAUAGCUAGAGUACGGUAGAGGGGGAUGGAAUUCCGCGUGUAGCAGUGAAAUGCGUAGAUAUGCGGAGGAACACCGAUGGCGAAGGCAAUCCCCUGGACCUGUACUGACGCUCAUGCAC
rnacentral:rRNA from 1 species